rfam:Sulfitobacter sp. CB2047 contig_7, whole genome shotgun sequence.
ACGUGGGACACCCUUCCCCAACGAAGGGCGCUUAUCUGAAAGGGUAGCUACA